AUUGAACGCUGGCGGCAGGCCUAACACAUGCAAGUCGAGCGGUUGAGGUAGCUUGCUACCGAUGCAGCGGCGGACGGGUGAGUAAUACAUGGGAAUCUGCCUGGUGGUGGGGGACAACGUUUCGAAAGGAACGCUAAUACCGCAUACGCCCUACGGGGGAAAGGGGGGGAUCUUCGGACCUCUCGCUAUCAGAUGAGCCCAUGUCGGAUUAGCUUGUUGGUGGGGUAAAGGCUCACCAAGGCGACGAUCCGUAACUGGUCUGAGAGGAUGAUCAGUCACACUGGAGCUGAGACACGGUCCAGACUCCUACGGGAGGCAGCAGUGGGGAAUAUUGGACAAUGGGCGCAAGCCUGAUCCAGCCAUGCCGCGUGUGUGAAGAAGGCCUUAGGGUUGUAAAGCACUUUCAGUGGGGAGAAAGGUCAUUCACCUAAUACGUGAGUGAAUUGAUGUUACCCACAGAAGAAGCACCGGCUAACUCCGUGCCAGCAGCCGCAGUAA
rnacentral:rRNA from 1 species